GAUGAACGCUGGCGGCGUGCUUAACACAUGCAAGUCGAACGGUGAAGCCCAGCUUGCUGGGUGGAUCAGUGGCGAACGGGUGAGUAACACGUGAGCAAUCUGCCCCUGACUCUGGGAUAAGCGCUGGAAACGGUGUCUAAUACUGGAUAUGAGCUGCGACCGCAUGGUCAGUAGUUGGAAAGAUUUUUCGGUCAGGGAUGAGCUCGCGGCCUAUCAGCUUGUUGGUGAGGUAAUGGCUCACCAAGGCGUCGACGGGUAGCCGGCCUGAGAGGGUGACCGGCCACACUGGGACUGAGACACGGCCCAG
rnacentral:rRNA from 1 species